rnacentral:rRNA from 1 species
UACAGAGGGUGCGAACGUUGCUCGGAAUUACUGGGCGUAAAGAGCGUGUAGGCGGCCAGACAGGUCCGUUGUGAAAACUCGAAGCUCAACCUCGAGACGUCGAUGGAAACCGUCUGGCUAGAGUCCGGAAGAGGAGAGUGGAAUUCCUGGUGUAGCGGUGAAAUGCGCAGAUAUCAGGAAGAACACCUAUGGCGAAGGCAGCUCUCUGGGACGGUACUGACGCUGAGACGCGAAAGCGUGGGGAGCGAACAGGAUAGAUACCUGUAG